GCCUUUUCAUUAAUUUAAUCGCUCAUUCCAGGUGAUGACACGGACUAAACCGUGAAAACAUGGCUAACGUGGAAGGUACAUGGCGUGGCAUUUCUUGACACAGUUAAAUAUUUGUCCAUUGCCUGCAACCCAAAUUAUUCAAUGUAGCGUUAUCCUACACAAACAAUGGGAAUAUAAUUUUUACUCGCUUUCCUUUGUAAUCCGAUAGGAUACCUAAUGCCUUUAGUCUUUUCUACCUGUUCUCUAUACCCUGCAUCUUCUUUUCAGGUUCAAGUCUGCAUUCCAUUCUUUCACUUUUCGGAUCUCUUGGCGGGUGGAAAUCACACCGCUGCCAGAUUUUACGCACGAUAGAUCUAAAGUUUGAAGCAGCUUGCUGGUAAAUCUCUUUCUUUUGCUCGAUCUAAUCCUGCAAAAAGCAAAUCCUACUCUACCCGAGUCCUGCGUUGGGCUUUAUUGUGUCAGGGCUGCUCCUUUAUUUGAAAAUCGUUUGGCAAUUUUCUUUUCGUUUAAUAAGCUCUAUGGUUGCAAAACUGACGAAGCUGGAGCUCAUGUACGGUUCCGCAGGCAAGAGAUUAAUGUUUCGCAGCAUUUGCUUUUCAAUGGUCCUGGCCAUGAUGCCGGUUCUCUAGAAUGUCCCGGACGCCGGUCCAUGUGACCUCUCGGCUGGCUCCGAACCCUUCUAUGGUCCCGGAGGUCUAGGGAUCGAUACCCUGCCCCAACGAAGAUCUGGGCUGUAAAAUUCUACUCGGGCAUUGACAGUGACCUGUUGAAGCAGGGCCCCCUGCGGCCUGCUCUAAAAGGCCUCUGCAUCGGGUGUGGCGUUGCCCACGCUGUUUUGGCAUUGAGGGAAAAUGGAAUAUCUGACGCCUCGGGAAUCGAUCUCGGUUCGUGCAAAGGCAAACUCAAGCGGCUGCAAUUUGCAGAUAAGUCCUUUGAAUGUGCAUAAUCAGGGUUGGUGCUUCAAGCCCAGGCUUCUGCUCUGUUCGCCGUCGAGAUCGAACGCACUCUUAAACCCAGCGGGGUCGCGAUUAUAGUCCUGUUGCCCAGCCGGACGGUCAAGGGUUCGAAACCCCUAAGCCCACUUCAGAAACCCCGAAGUCGUUCGUGUGACCGUGGUGAGGAAUUCUUCAGUAAUCGCGCUGCGCAAGUUGCUUUGGCGUCUAACCCCGUACACCAUUGCUCUCCCCUGAAGCACAACAGGAACUUAGUCAAGCUCGCGGAGCCAUUAACGGAGAACCACAAUAAUGCCAUUUUUUUCUGAGUGUUGUGUACAGAAGCACCCUGAACCACCAUGUUUAUUUUGAAAUUGGGGUUAAUGACACAGAGAGCAGUGUAAGUGGGUUGUUCGUGAGGGUUUAUGCGCAACAAAUCAGGGCUUUUGAUAUCUACGCAGUAGGCGUGUAUGAUACAGCCCCUGCUUCUACUUCCGCUGCCAAUCUCGAAGGAGUCGAAGCGGUGCGACUGAAGCAGAGCAAAAUUGGAGGUGGAUUAAAAGGAAUAUCAGCGAGAAGGAUUUUGUUGUUGCGAAAGUAGGGUUUCCGAUUUGAUGGAGAGCGAAGUAAUGUGCCUCCUCGACAAGCGUUUUGUGGCAUGCAGCCAUAAUUAUGAUGAUGCUGGCUGUCAUCAUCUGCUGAACGCAUUGAGAAAGAAUGGCGUCUUUGCACGUAAGUGGUAACUGCUUUGGUCGAUACCCUCCUGCCAUUAUACUAUACUAUGGUAAGCCUGGCUACUCUGCUACUAGUUUACUUGGCUAUUACUGUAAUAUGCUACGGAGAAUAAAAUGCAGAUUUGGUGGUGGUGUAUUUGUAUUAACAACAAUAUUUCAAGGGUUCACGAGUUAUAAAGCAUGAUUUAGGGGAGAACAUUUUACAUGCAUAGUUAAAUGAUAACGUCCUAACAUAACGAUAUGAAAGAUACUAAAAAAUGGGUAUAUAGUAAAAUCUACUAAUGAUUACAAGAUUUGGUCAAAUCAUCCUUCAAGUUGACUAUUGGUAGAUAGUUUAGUAGUUGAAACUUACCUUUCUUUGUUAUUGCAUAUUCGACAUCCAUCCAAGCUUUGUUUAUUUAUGUAAUUACUCAAGCUUACAAAAAUAUACAUUUAUGCAUAUUUAUCUCCUUUUUAUUUGGCCUCUACUUCUCUUUAUCUAUUGCCUCUCUUUGUACGUCUUUUAUAUAUUCCCCCCUUCUUCUCUUUCUAUCUUCAAAUCUACCUUUAUCUUCCUCUCUCACCCUUUAUUUAUAGACAUGUCUCCCUCUCUUUCUCUUCUUUUAUCUUCCUAAACCUCUAUAUCUAUAUCUAUAUCUCUAUCUAUCCAAAUUUCUUCUUCCAUUUCUCCUCCUUAUUAUCCUUCUAUAUUAUCCUGACAUCUCUCCCACUCUCUACUCUAUCUUCCUCCUAUCUCUCUCCAUUUCUAUCUCUACCUCCUUACCCCUUCUCUAUCUCUCUCCCCUCCUUACUCUUCCUCUCUCUCUCUAUUGUAAACAUAAUGUGAGACUAUUGGUAAUGCAGUUUGAUUAUCUUCUUUAGGGGAAAGGAGCCAGUAGCUGCCAUAGCUAACUUUGCGCAUUGGUUCAUCCGAUUUAGAUGAUUUUUUUUCGGUUCUCUUCGUAUGCGACUUAACUGCUUAAAGCUAUUGUUUUGGCUUGUGGAUAGUAACGAUGCACGCUGUGAAAUUCGUUAUGUGCACAAAGGUCAAAAAAUACACAUUUCCAAGUGUGAUCCAAUACAUGUUCACCUUUGUGCCAAUAGUAGAUAACUCAAGAUAGCCAUUAGUAGUGGACAAAUGCUCCAGUAGUGAGCUAAUUUUGGUCAAAAAUGCUAAAAAAUGCACCACUAUUGGUACAUGUGAUAUUUAUUAAUGAACCUUCCAUUACCAUUUUUUUUUGGCUCCUACUAUGUCUACAAAUAGAAGGGUGAGGGUGACAAAAAGAUGACAGUUAUUGGUAGUAUACUACUUUCCCCUAGAAGUUUUAUUUCAUUUAUGUUUGGAUCCUAUAAAUAGAUUCAUAAUUGAUUUAAAUUAAGCUAUCAAUUCUCCUCACAUCAUAUUAAUUAAUCUUAUAUACUAUACUACACAAAUAUAUAAAAAUAUAGACCUUCCACACCCAUUGCACACUAAGGUGCGAUUGCUGGUUAAUUAUUUUCCUACCGUCCUUUUCAUUAGUUUAAUCGCUCAUUCCACGUGAUAAAACGGACAAAACUGUGAAACAUGGUUAACGUGGAACGUACGUGGCGUGGCAUUUUGAGACAGUUAUUUGUCGAUUGCCUGCAACCCAAAUGAUUCAAUUAGUUUUUUCUACCUGUUCUCCAUACCCUGCCUCUUCUUUUGAAGUACAAGUCUGCAGAUCCCCUGGUAGGUGAAAAUCACACCGCUGUCAGAUUUUGCGCGCGAUGGAUCUAAAGUUCGAAUCUGCUUGCUGGUAAAUCUCUUUCUUUUGCUCGAUCUAAUCCCGCAAACGGCUAGCGCUGCUCUACAUGGGUCCUGCGUUGGGCUUUAUUGUGUCAGGGCUGUUCCUUUAUUUUGAAAAUCGUAUACCAAUUUUUUCGUUCCGUUUAAAUUUUUCGCAGCAUUUGCUAUUAAAACGGUCCUAGCCAUGAUGCCGGUUCUCUACAUUGUCCAGGGCGCCGAUCCAUGUGACCUCUUGGCUGGCUCCGAACCCUUCUAUGGUCCCGGAGGUCUGGGGAUCGAUACCCUGCCCCAACGAAGAUCUGGGCUGUAAAAUUCUAUUCGGGCAUUGACAGCGACCUGUUGAAGCAGGACCUCCUUUGGCCUGCUCUGAAAGGCUCUGCUUCGGUUGUGGCGCUGCCCUCGCCAUUUCGGCAUUGAGCGAAAAUGGAAUAUCUGACGCCACGGGAAUCGAUCGCCGGUCGUGCAAAGGCAAACUCAAACGGCUGCAAUUUGCAGAUAAUUCCUUCGAAUUUGUAUAAUCAGGGUUGGUGUUUCAAGCUCAGGCUCCUGCUCUGUUCGCCGUCGAGAUCGAACGCACUCUAAAACCCAGCGGGGUCGCGAUUAUAGUCCUGUUGCCGAGGUGGACGGUCAAGGGUUCGAAACCCAUAAAUUCUCUGAACCCCACGGCUGCCCUCUUCAGAAACCCCGAAUUCGUUCAUGUGACUGGAGGGGAAUUCUUCAUAAUCGCGCUGCGCAAGCUUGCUUUGGCAUCUAACCCCGUCCACCAUUGCUCUGCCCUGAAGGACAACAGGAACUCAGAUCAAGCUCGCGUAGGCAUUAAUGGAGAACCACAAUAACGCCCUUUAUUUGCCAAGUGUUGAAGACCUAAGCGCCCUGAACCGCCAUGUUUAUAUUGAAAUUGGUGGUAAUGAUACUGAGAGCAGUGUAAGUGGAUUGUUCGUGAGGGUUUAUGCGAAGCAAAUCAGGGCUUUUGAUAUUUACGCAGUAGGCGUGGAUGAUACAGCCCUUGCUUCUAUUUCUAUUGUCAAUCUCGAUGGACUCAAAGCGGUGCGACUGAUGCAGAGUGAAAUUUUAGGGUGGAUGAAAAGAAAUAUCAGCGAGAAGGAUUUUGUUGUUGCAAAAUUAGGGUUUCCGAAAUGAGGAGGAGCGGAGUAAUGUGCCUCGUCGACGAGCUUUUCAUGGUAUGCAGCCAUGAUCACGAUGAUGCUGCCUGUCUCCAUCUGCUGAACGGUUUGAGAAAGAAUGGCGUCUUUGCACAUAAGUGGUAGCUGCUUUGGUUUAUACCCUCCUGCCAUUAUACUAUACUAUGGUGAUUGUUGGUUUUGGUUUAGAUCGUCAAUGUUGCAGGUAAUAUGUGUUGGUGGAGAAACGAGGUAAUUCUAUCUUUCGUGUUUUUGAUGCAUAGUUGUGGUUGUCCCGAUUUUGCAAGAACUUUUACUUUGUGCCUUUUAUAUUUCAUGGACUGAGGGUUUUAUGAGUUAUAAAAAUUUUAAAACGACAGUGAUAAAAAAUGUUACAAAAAUAUAUUUUGGUGUUUCAUUGUUUGCGUUUUCAUUUUCUGUUGGGCACUUUGGCAAAGGCUUUUGUUGGUUUUGUGAUAAAAUUACCGUCUUUUUUCUAUGGUUUAUUCUUAAAUCAAAAUAUUGCCGAUAUAGUGGAAAUAGGCAUCCACGUUUCGAAAAAAAAAUAAUCUUCUUUGUUUUUGUGACAUAGAGCUUGCAUUGUUCCAAUUUACACACAAAAUUCAAUCGGUGUGGUUUAGAGAAUACUUAGUGCUAUGUUGGCCACCAUAAGAUCUGUAGGUGCUUCACAACAACUUCAUAUGGUCGAUUCUAUGGAGUGAGUAUUGAAAUGGAGUUCACUUAGAGCGUAAAAAGGAGAAUUGCCAAGAUUGGGGGCUCGAUGUAGACGAACUACAGUGAAAUUGGAGAUAAAGUUGGAAACAUACGAAGCGAGGAGUUUUAGCCAACUCAAGCUCAAAAUUAGAGAACUGUUGUUUUGAGGAGCUUACUCACAUGGUUAAUUGAAGACUUAGCUAAACCAAACUCAACAUCAAGAUAAAAAGUUUCAGUUUCAGAGACUUUUUAGCAUUGUCAAUUGCAGUUGAUCAAGGGAGUUUUUGAAAGGAGGUUUUCAAGGGAAAUUGAUAUAAAAUGGAGCUCGAAGCUCAUUGUAAGGGGUCAGAUGCUCCGAGUUUGGACUUUUUUUAAGAUUAGGCUCUUAGAAUUUAGGAAUAGUUUAGGAGCUGGAAAUUGGCCGAUGGUCAUUCUAGAUAGUUUUCCUUUGCAUUUUUUUCAUCUUAAUGUAGCUGGAAGAGAUCUGAUACAAACAAAAAUCAGACAUUCAGUGUGACCAAUCUGUUGAAUAAUUGUCCUUAUUCGAAGGCGAAUAUAUGAAUUUAAUUCAAUUUUUUGUUUA